GGAAUUCGCCCUUACCUGGUUAGAUCCUAGCCAGUAGUCAUAUAGCUUGUCUCAAGGAUUAAGCCAUGCAUGUGUAAGAUCGGCAUAGGCAAUGGGGAUGGGUUUACUCAUCCUCUUGUUCAUUGUUAAUCUGUGAAAGGCUCAUUAAACAAGUUAUGAAUUUAGCCACCUGGAACAACCCUUCGGGGAUUGGAAUAACACUGUUAACUGCAGCGAUAAUGCCUACGAUUACUGUUGAAUUAAGUAGACAGUAGACACUAGAGUCUGGGUGAGUCCGCUCUAUUGUUAGCUGGGAUGACCUGGAGAUUCGUCGAAGGGUCUGAACAGUUGUCGACCAUUAGGUUUCCCGUCUGCUUGCAGGCGGGAUGCAGCAUGAUUGACUUAGUGUCCUAAUAAGACCUAUGACUUUCUUGGUGACUA
rnacentral:rRNA from 1 species